rnacentral:rRNA from 1 species
UGCGUAGGUGGUUUUUUAAGUCAGUGGUGAAAGCCUACAGCUUAACUGUAGAGGUGCCAUUGAUACUGGAAAACUUGAGUAUGGACGAGGUAGGCGGAAUUUGUGGUGUAGCGGUGAAAUGCAUAGAUACCACAAAGAACACCGAUAGCGAAGGCAGCUUACUGGACCAUAACUGACACUGAGGCACGAAAGCGUGGGGAGCGAACAGGAUUAGAUACCCUGGUAGUCC